rnacentral:sRNA from 1 species
CCAAUUUAACAUCAAACUCAGAUGUUGAACGUGAAGGAUAACGUUGCGUCAGCAACGGCCCGUAGGGCGAGGCGAAGCCGAGUCAUCCUGCACGACCCACCA